rnacentral:rRNA from 1 species
UACAGAGGUCUCAAGCGUUGUUCGGAUUUACUGGGCGUAAAGGGCGCGUAGGCGGCGCAACAAGUCACUUGUGAAAUCUCCGGGCUUAACCCGGAGCGGUCAAGUGAUACUGUCGUGCUAGAGUGCAGAAGGGGCUACUGGAAUUCUCGGUGUAGCGGUGAAAUGCGUAGAUAUCGAGAGGAACACCUGCGGCGAAGGCGGGUAGCUGGGCCGACACCGACGCUGAUGCGCGAAAGCCAGGGGAGCGAACGGG